rnacentral:rRNA from 1 species
AGGACGAACGCUGGCGGCGUGCUUAACACAUGCAAGUCGAACGGUGAAGCACCUUCGGGUGUGGAUCAGUGGCGAACGGGUGAGUAACACGUGGGCAACCUGCCCCUGACUUCGGAAUAACUUCGGGAAACCGAAGCUAAUACCGGAUACGACCUCGAGCGGCAUCGCUCGUGGUGGAAAGGUUUUCGGUCAGGGAUGGGCCCGCGGCCUAUCAGCUUGUUGGUGGGUAACGGCCUACCAAGGCGACUACGGGU